CCUACGGGAGGCAGCAGUGGGGAAUUUUGGACAAUGGGCGCAAGCCUGAUCCAGCCAUGCCGCGUGUGUGAAGAAGGCCUUCGGGUUGUAAAGCACUUUCAGCGAGGAGGAAGGGGUGAGUGUUAAUAGUACUCAUCUUUGACGUUACUCGCAGAAGAAGCACCGGCUAACUCUGUGCCAGCAGCCGCGGUAAU
rnacentral:rRNA from 1 species